GGAUAUAAAGCCUAAAUGAAUCAUGUCUGUUGUAAAUGAGAUCAAUAAAUGCUUAUUUGUGUGAAAAAGUGAUUGUUGUUCCUUUGAGAAGCAUUUUGUCCAAACUGAAUGUUUGAGUGUUGAGAAGAUCUGAGUUUCUUCUAAUAUCAGUGUGUUGAAGUGUUGUUUCUCUCUCUCUGCUGGAGUUUGUGUUCACUCGAGUGGAAUAGAGGUUUUUGUACGACCGUUUCAUUAGAUUGUAUCACUGUGGUGGACUUUCGGUGGAGGAACUAAACUGGUGCUCGCUGGUCCCACAGUGAAGCCCUCAGUGUCUCUGCUGCCGCCCUCUUCUCUGCAGAUCUCUGGAGACUCAGCUGCACUGCUCUGCCUGCUCAGCUCUUACUCUCCACAGGGGGCGCUGGUGAGCUGGACACUGGACGGGUCAGAGGUCACCGAGGGGGUCGUGACCAGCGCAGAGAGCCAGCGGGACGGCCGCUACAGCCGCAGUAGCGUCCUGACCCUCAGCAAAGCACGCUGGGAAAAGGGAGAGGUGUACGUCUGCAGAGUAA